rfam:Setaria italica strain Yugu1 chromosome VIII, whole genome shotgun sequence.
GGAUGCGAUCAUACCAGCACUAAAGCAACAGAUUCCAUCAGAUCUCUGAAGUUUAGCGUGCUUGGGUGAGAGUAGUACUAGGAUGGUUUACCUCGUGGGAAGUCCUCGUGUUGCAUUCU